rnacentral:lncRNA from 1 species
UUUUGGAUGCAGAACGGCUAAUCGGAAAUCUGCUUCUUCCGUUUUCGCGUCUGGAUCCCUCCAGGUUGCUGAUCAGCUCUGUGCCAAAUACAGCAAGGAAUAUGGCAAGUUGUGCAGGACCAACCAGAUCGGGACUGUGAAUGAUAGGCUAAUGCAUAAACUGAGUGUAGAAGCCCCACCCAAGAUCCUAGUGGAGAGAUACCUGAUUGAAA